AUCGGGAUGCAGAAGGUUUGGGACUGGCCUACAAGCACCAAGUUGAAGAAGCAUUCCCUACUAUUGCUGCUGGAGCCACAACAAGCCGACAGACCGACUCUACUAUUGUUCGAAGAGAUGUCCUAGGAAGAGAUAAGGAUGAAUCCGAAAUAGUUAAGAAGUUGUUGGCCGAAUCUGAAAGUGUUAUUUCAGUUAUUCCCAUAACUGGCAUGGGUGGAUUAGGCAAAACAACUCUAGCUAAAGCCGUUUACAAAAAUGAACAAAUUGUUGGACAAUUUGACAAAAAAAUUUGGGUUUGUGUGGCUGAAGAAGUAGAUAAAAUCGAGAAGGUCUUCAAAAUGAUUCUUGAAUCGUUAACAGGAGGAAAGGUUGAAGGGGAUCGUAGGGAGGUAAUAGUUCAAAAACUUCAAGAUGAACUCAAGGAAAAAAGAUAUUUCCUUGUUCUUGAUGAUGUGUGGAAUGAUCAAGAAGCAUUGUUGAAUGACUUUUUCAGCACUUUGGCGGGACUCAAUGCGAAGAAAGGGAGCUGGUGUCUUGUUACCACUCGUCUGCAAGAAGUGGCAAGUAUUCUGUCUAGACAUCCGCAGAUCAAUUUUACUCGCCAUGAGCUAGGAAAGCUCUGCAAUGAUGAUUGCUGGUCUAUCAUGAAAAAAUGGGCAACUGUAGGGGAAGAAAUACCAAAAGAAUUGGAAGACAUAAGGGAGCGAGUUUUAAGAAGAUGUGAUGGUCUACCUCUGGCAGCAAAGUUAAUUGGAGGAUUGUUAUCUAAAAAGAGAAAAGAGGAGUGGCUAUCUAUUUUGGAGGAGAGUCUCUUGAAUGGAGAUCAGGGUGGGAUCGAGCAAAUAGUUAAGGUGAGUUUUGAUCAUCUGUCACCUGCACCGGUUAAGAAAUGCUUCGCAUAUUGCUCAAUUUUUUAUCAAGAUACUGAAUUGGAACAAGAUCUACUAGUUGAGCUUUGGAUGGCUGAAGGCUUUCUUCAAACGGAUUCCCAAAAUGAAAGAAUGAUGGAGAAAAUAGGAUGUGAGAAUUUGAGAAUUUUGCUGCAAACUUCCUUAUUGGAAGAAGUAAGAGAUUGGAGGGGAACAUGGUAUAAAAUGCAUGAUCUUGUGCAUGAUUUUGCAAAAUCAAUUUUGAACCGUAACGGCAGCAAUCAGGACCGUUACCUUGCGGUAUACUCACCCGAAAGAAUCAAUGAAAAAGCAUCAGCAUCGCUUCGCACAUUAUUUCUGGAGGGUGGCAUAGCUGAUGAUAUGUUAUCAAAGUUCAAAUACUUGCAUGUCCUAAAAUUGUUCGGAGCAGAUG
rnacentral:lncRNA from 1 species